GAUGAACGCUGGUGGCGUGCCUAACACAUGCCAGUCGAGCGAUUCUCUUCGGAGAAGAGCGGCGGACGGGUGAGUAACGCGUGGGUAACCUGCCCUGUACACACGGAUAACAUACCGAAAGGUAUGCUAAUACGAGAUAACAUGCUUUUAUCGCAUGGUAGAAGUAUCAAAGCUUUUGCGGUACAGGAUGGACCCGCGUCUGAUUAGCUAGUUGGUGAGGUAACGGCUCACCAAGGCGACGAUCAGUAGCCGACCUGAGAGGGUGAUCGGCCACAUUGGAACUGAGACACGGUCCAAACUCCUACGGGAGGCAGCAGUGGGGAAUAUUGCACAAUGGGCGAAAGCCUGAUGCAGCAACGCCGCGUGAGCGAUGAAGGCCUUCGGGUCGUGAAGCUCUGUCCUCAAGGAAGAUAAUGACGGUACUUGAGGAGGAAGCCCCGGCUAACUACGUG
rnacentral:rRNA from 1 species